UUCCUCAAACACAAAUCCAAAAUGAGCGAUGAAUGUUGCGUUUUCAAAUUUCCCCGGCGUAAUGUCGACGGGGCUUUAUAAAUCGUAGACGUUGAUUAUUCUGUGUUUUAUUUUACUAUUUUUGCAGGGUGAAGAGGAUGAGGAUGACGAAGAAGACAACUGGCCUGAACUGAGGUAUGGAAUUUACAAGAAUCCCAAACCGGGUCCUUCUUGGAGACUGGAGCCUGGUGAAUACUACAAUCCCGCACCACUCCCGACAGAUUCGAACUAAGGUGCUGCUUCAGCGCUGCGCAUGACAUCAAUGGAUCAUCCGCUUUCUUCUUCGUGCCAGGUCCAAUAAAUGUGAUGUCCGACUCGGCGACUACAUUCAAACCAACAACACGGGGAGUAAUAAACACAGCAACGGAUCCACCUUGGAUGUCGAGACCAGACUUAUUAGAGGGAGAUAUUAUGUUGGAUGGACAAAUCAGCCGUGCUUCGGUUAACAAGAAAAUUUACCUAUGGCCAGGAGGCAUCGUUCCGUAUGUAUUGGAAUCCUCGCUGAGUACGUACAUUUUUGCUUGUCAACUUUGUAAGCAAUAUAGUUUGCUUUAGGUUUAGACCACUCCAAGGAGAACAAACGAAAAGAUGUCGGGUCACUUACUUCCCCACGGAGCAAGUCACUUCAUUGGCCCUUGUAACCAAGAGUGGCAGGGGACAGGGGCAGAAGCCUGGGGCAGAAACCUGGGGUCAAAGGGGGUGGGAACUUUACGCAAGAAGAGGGGGUGAGGCGGGGGGAAGUGGGAUUCCAAAGGUGGCAUAUAGGAGAUAGGAGAAAUAGGGGAAAUAUUGAAACAUUGAGUCAUGUGUUGUCAUAGGAAAAGCACCCAGAAGUUGGAACGAGGGUAAAAAAAAAAUAAGGUUGGGGAACAAAGAACAGAUCCAUUGUCCACUCAGUAGAAUUAUACCAAAAGUCUAGAAAGUCAGUCGAUGACCGGAACUGGGCUAGCAAAACUUACCUAGCUCUUAAGGAAUCCUUUUAACGUUGAUGCCUGGAUUUUGAAGUUUUUUUCUGCGAGGGACUAACAGGCUAGUUUUUCAAUGGUUUCGAGUUGCAUACCGUGAAAUAUCCCGCACCGAGUGGCUUGCAUGAUUUUUCAGAAUGCACUCGAGUCUUAAGGCCAGUGGGGUAUACAAAGAAAACUCAAGUCACGAGAAAACACUGUGUUACCAGGCCUUUACCAUAAAAUAACCGCUACAAGACGAACAGCUUGCAAGAAGUAAGAUUAGCAUAAGCUUUUACUUCGAAUGAAGCCGGAUAUACAAGAACUUACAAAACUUUUACAUUUAACGUUAGCAUGUCAAAUUCCUAGGUUAGCUUUAAGCAAUCUGAUAGCCAGAAAAUUGCAAAUAUUAUCUAGUCAUGGCAAUGGUAAAGAUAAAAAAAGACCUGUAAGAUUAUGCAAGAUUUGCUUUA